CCCCAGUUACCUGGCAAUAGCCAGCCACCUCCUGCCAUCCUGUGAACUGAACAGUGGGGAGACUCACCCUGUGAGGGCUUAAGGGAGGCCUGGGGCCAAACACAUUGUGGAAUCAGCCCCUCCAAGAGCUCCAAGGAUCUGAGUCUACUAACAUCACAUGGCUGAUGGAGAAAUAGAUCCUCUCACAGAGUUGGCUGACUUGGUUAGAGACGCUGAGGGCCCAAAGCCUGGUCAACCCAGGAUAAGCCUUGAUUGAGGUUGUAGACUUACCAAGACAGAAAACCUACAGGAGGCGUGAGAAGUCAGUUCCAGGAGGCCGAGGCCGGAGGGACUCAAGUUCAAGGCCUGCUUGGACUCCAUCGAAUCGUGCCAACCCAGACAAGUUUGUAGGCUCCUGUCUCAAAAAUCAGAAAGUCAGUAAGAAAUCUGGAGAUGCAACUCAGCGGGAAGAUGCUGGCCUUGCACGGAUGAAACCCUAAAUGCACUCCCCAGUACAACGCAUGAACAAACAAACAUCAAAAGCCUUUGACCACACACAGUACCAAUAAAGAGAAGAGAACUA